rnacentral:rRNA from 1 species
CUCCGGCUGCUUACCAUGCAAGUCGAACGGGCGUAGCAAUACGUCAGUGGCAGACGGGUGAGUAACGCGUGGGAACGUACCUUUUGGUUCGGAACAACUGAGGGAAACUUCAGCUAAUACCGGAUAAGCCCUUACGGGGAAAGAUUUAUCGCCGAAAGAUCGGCCCGCGUCUGAUUAGCUAGUUGGUGAGGUAAUGGCUCACCAAGGCGACGAUCAGUAGCUGGUCUGAGAGGAUGAUCAGCCACAUUGGGACUGAGACACGGCCCAAACUCCUACGGGAGGCAGCAGUGGGGAAUAUUGGACAAUGGGGGCAACCCUGAUCCAGCCAUGCCGCGUGAGUGAUGAAGGCCCUAGGGUUGUAAAGCUCUUUUGUGCGGGAAGAUAAUGACGGUACCGCAAGAAUAAGCCCCGGCUAACUUCGUGCCAGCAGCCGCGGUAAUACGAAGGGGGCUAGCGUUGCUCGGAAUCACUGGGCGUAAAGGGUGCGUAGGCGGGUUUCUAAGUCAGAGGUGAAAGCCUGGAGCUCAACUCCAGAACUGCCUUUGAUACUGGAAGUCUUGAGUAUGGCAGAGGUGAGUGGAACUGCGAGUGUAGAGGUGAAAUUCGUAGAUAUUCGCAAGAACACCAGUGGCGAAGGCGGCUCACUGGGCCAUUACUGACGCUGAGGCACGAAAGCGUGGGGAGCAAACAGGAUUAGAUACCCUGGUAGUCCACGCCGUAACGAUGAAUGCCAGCCGUUAGUGGGUUUACUCACUAGUGGCGCAGCUAACGCUUUAAGCAUUCCGCCUGGGGAGUACGGUCGCAGAUUAAACUCAAGGAA